UACGUAGGGUGCAAGCGUUAUCCGGAAUUAUUGGGCGUAAAGAGCUCGUAGGCGGUUUGUCGCGUCUGCUGUGAAAACUGGAGGCUCAACCUCCAGCCUGCAGUGGGUACGGGCAGACUAGAGUGCGGUAGGGGAGAUUGGAAUUCCUGGUGUAGCGGUGGAAUGCGCAGAUAUCAGGAGGAACACCGGUGGCGAAGGCGGUUCUCUGGGCAUUACCUGACGCUGAGGAGCGAAAGCGUGGGGAGCAAACAGG
rnacentral:rRNA from 1 species